rnacentral:rRNA from 1 species
GAUGAACGCUAGCGGCAGGCUUAACACAUGCAAGUCGAGGGGUAUAGUUCUUCGGAAUUAGAGACCGGCGCACGGGUGCGUAACGCGUAUGCAAUCUACCUUUCACAGAGGGAUAGCCCCAGAGAAAUUUGGACUUAAUACCUCAUAGUAUAGCAGUUUCGCAUGAAACCACUAUUAAAGUCACAACGGUGAAAGAUGAGCAUGCGUCCCAUUAGCUAGUUGGUAAGGUAACGGCUUACCAAGGCAACGAUGGGUAGGGGUCCUGAGAGGGAGAUCCCCCACAGUGGUACUGAGACACGGACCAGACUCCUACGGGAGGCAGCAGUGAGGAAUAUUGGACAAUGGGCGCAAGCCUGAUCCAGCCAUGCCGCGUGCAGGAUGACGGUCCUAUGGAUUGUAAACUGCUUUUANACAGGAAGAAACACUCCGACGUGUCGAGCUUGACGGUACUGUAAGAUAAGGGAUCGGCUAACUCCG